AUUGAACGCUGGCGGCAUGCUUUACACAUGCAAGUCGAACGGCAGCACGAAAGAGCUUGCUCUUUUGGUGGCGAGUGGCGAACGGGUGAGUAAUGCAUCGGAACGUACCGAGUAAUGGGGGAUAACUGUCCGAAAGGAUAGCUAAUACCGCAUACGCUUUGAGAAGGAAAGUGGGGGCUCUUCGGACCUCACGUUAUUCGAGCGGCCGAUGUCUGAUUAGCUAGUUGGUGGGGUAAAGGCCUACCAAGGCGACGAUCAGUAGCGGGUCUGAGAGGAUGAUCCGCCACACUGGGACUGAGACACGGCCCAGACUCCUACGGGAGGCAGCAGUGGGGAAUUUUGGACAAUGGGCGCUAGCCUGAUCCAGCCAUGCCGCGUGUCUGAAGAAGGCCUUCGGGUUGUAAAGGACUUUUGUUAGGGAAGAAAAGGAUAGUGUUAAUACCAUUAUCUGCUGACGGUACCUAAAGAAUAAGCACCGGCUAACUACGUG
rnacentral:rRNA from 1 species